UACGUAGGGGGCAAGCGUUGUCCGGAAUCAUUGGGCGUAAAGAGCGUGUAGGCGGCCAGGUAGGUCUGCUGUGAAAACUCGAGGCUCAACCUCGAGACGUCGGCGGAAACCAUCUGGCUAGAGUCCGGAAGAGGAGAGUGGAAUUCCUGGUGUAGCGGUGAAAUGCGCAGAUAUCAGGAAGAACACCGAUGGCGAAGGCAGGUCUCUGGGCCACUACUGACGCUGAGAAGCGAAAGCAUGGGGAGCGAACAGG
rnacentral:rRNA from 1 species